UACGAGGGGUCCUAGCGUUGUUCGGAAUCAUUGGGCGUAAAGAGCUCGUAGGUGGCUUAGUAAGUCAGGUGUGAAAGCCCUGGGCUCAACCUAGGAAGUGCACUUGAAACUGCUGAGCUUGAAUGCUGGAGAGGGAAGCGGAAUUCCCGGUGUAGAGGUGAAAUUCGUAGAUAUCGGGAGGAACACCGGUGGCGAAGGCGGCGACCUGGGUAGAUACUGACGCUGAGGUGCGAAAGCGUGGGGAGCAAACAGG
rnacentral:rRNA from 1 species